AAUCCAUGUUGAGGACAUUUACACAGGAUCUUCUUGAACCUAUCCCAUGUCGUAAAUAGAGACUCCAAUUCCAUUUGUACAAAAGAGGAUAUUUCAUUCCUAAGCUU